GAUGAACGCUGGCGGCGUGCCUAAUACAUGCAAGUCGAACGCUGGAGAUCUAGCUUGCUAGAUCGAAGGAGUGGCGAACGGGUGAGUAAUACAUAAGCAACCUACCCACGAAGACUGGGAUAAUCUCUGGAAACGGGGACUAAUACCGGAUAGGUAAUCGGAAGGCAUCUUCUGGUUAUUAAAGGUUAAAAGCACUGGUGGAUGGGCUUAUGGCGCAUUAGUUAGUUGGUGAGGUAACGGCCCACCAAGACGAUGAUGCGUAGCCGGCCUGAGAGGGUGAACGGCCACAUUGGGACUGAGACACGGCCCAGACUCCUACGGGAGGCAGCAGUAGGGAAUUUUCGGCAAUGGGGGCAACCCUGACCGAGCAACGCCGCGUGAGUGAAGACGGCCUUCGGGUUGUAAAGCUCUGUUGUAAGGGAAGAACGGUAGAUAGAGAAUAUCUAAGUGACGGUACCUUACCAGAAAGCCACGGCUAACUACGUG
rnacentral:rRNA from 1 species